rnacentral:lncRNA from 1 species
UAAACAUCUAUUACUUAAAAUAUUUCAGGUGAUGGAAUACUAUUGUGCUCAAAGGAAUAAUGAACUGGAGGGAUUCCAUGUGAACUGGAACAACCUCCAGGAAGUGAUGCAGAGCAAAAGGAGCAGAACAAGGAGAACAUUGUACACAGAGACUGAUGACACUGUGGUACAAUCGAAUGUAAUGGACUUCUCUAGUAGCAGCAAUACAAUGAUCCAGGACAAUUCUGAAGGACUCAUGAGAAAGAAUUCUAGCCACAUCCAGAGGAAGAUCUGUGGGAGGAGAAACACAGAAGAACAACUGCUUGAUCACAAGAUGAGGAAACUGGGGCAAAAAGGGUUAAAUGACUUGCCCAGGAUCACAAAGUUAACAAGUAUUGGAAGCCCUAUUUGAACUAAGAAAGGAAAUUCUUCUUGAUUUCAUGCUGAAUGUUCCAUCUACUGCACCAUCCACUGCCUUGUUCAUGAGGACAGAUAAAGAAAUAUUAUUCAUUCAUUUGAUUAAUCAAAGAUUAUUUAUUAUCUUCCAAACACUAGGCAUUGUUGCUAGGCACUAGGGUUUGUUUGUUUUUUUAAUGUGCAGAACCUCAAGAAGCUUAUAUCCUGUUAGGGUAGAGAUCCUUUUUUGUCUCUUUCCAUGGAUCCUCCUUUAUAUUUACUCUAAUUCAAGAUAUCCUUUGGAGUUCAGUCCUGGGCUCUCUUCCCUUCUUGAAUACUGGGUGAUCUCAUUGGCUCCUAUGGAUUUAAUUACCACUUCUGUGAGGAUAAUAUAUUUCAGAGGAAGAUCAAUGAGGAAUUUGAUAUUAUUACUAUAAAUUAAUUAUUUAUUUAUUAGUAAUUAAUAAUAAGAGCUAAAAUUUAUAUAACAUUUAAAAAUUUACAAAGAACUUUACAAAUAUGUUUUCAGUUGUUCCUCCCAAAUCUUUGUGGAUGUUUUUAUUAUGAUUAUCCCUAUUUUAUAGAGGAGGAAAUUAAAGCAGACAGAGGUCAUGGGACUGGGAGAGGGUACAUUCCUGAGACUGCUUUUGAAUUCAGUGUCCUGACUUGUGGUCUAAGCCCAGCUGGUUCACUUAACAAUAGCUCAAAUGAUAGGUCGUGAUGGCCUGAACUAGGGUAGAGGCUGAACUGAAAGAAGAUGAUGGACAUGAGAAUAUUGUUAUCACCAAAUUAGCAAGAUGGCAGCUAAUUAUAGAUAAAGCAGGUGAAAGAAAGGGAAGAAUUGAGAGGGAAGGGCUUUGCGGUUAUGAUCUUAGCUGAAUAAAAGGGUAGUGAUGUUCUUAAUGGAAAUGCCA